rfam:Gossypium arboreum cultivar AKA8401 contig_35989_1, whole genome shotgun sequence.
AACCCAUGCAUCGGGCAUUUUUGAAUUAAGUCUUUAAAUCGUUCCCAAACUUCAUAUAGUGUUUCAUCCUUCAAUUUCCAAAAAGAUGUGAUGUCAUUUCUAAGCUU